UUGCGUUCCACGGUUCCGCUGCAGAACUGCCGUGCCUCGCGUUACAGCCUCUGCAGUGUGCUGAAGUGUCUCAGCUGUGGAGAUGACAACGAGCUCCGCGCAGGGAGAAUCAGCUGAUCCCGAGCCCUAGCUGAAUCUAUGGCUAUCAGUGAUAUUUGCCUCAUUUUUAAGUUGUUAUCUAUCAACAUAAUUAAAUACAGGCAGCCACGUAUUUUCAAGACGUUUCAAGUUCGUAUUCCCGUAUUUUUUUGCAGUCAUUGCAGAUGAGCAGAUAAUAUCCAGCUACCUUUCCACUUGCCAGAAAAUUCAGAUAGUUACAACCUGAAGCCUUAAGAAAAUGAUACUCCAUGUGAAUCUGCGUCAGGGAACGGGACGUGCUUCUUGCAUAGCAGGAUUAUCCCAUGGCAGCAUCGGAUGAUUGCUAACCUCACAACAGCUGCCAAGUUUGAAAAGAUUGUUGCGUUAUUAAGUCUGAAUGAACAAAGGCAAUGUUCUUGAAGACGAAGAAUGACAACUACACUUUGGGACCGUGCCGCACAGAUGCUGCUACGACAAAGAGCAUGAAGGGACAGGAGUACCACACCAAAUGAGCAGCUCUUUUGA
rnacentral:lncRNA from 1 species